UCACUACUUGCGUAGGCAGUCUUCUUAGAGUGCUCAGCAUUACCUGAUGGCAACUAAGAACGAGGGUUGCGCUCGUUGCGGGACUUAACCCAACACCUCACGGCACGAGCUGACGACAGCCAUGCAGCACCUGUACAAGUUCGCCUUGCGGCACUCCGACUUUCAUCAGGAUUAACUUGCGUUUCAAGCCUAGGUAAGGUUCUUCGCGUUGCGUCGAAUUAAACCACAUGCUCCACUGCUUGUGCGGGCCCCCGUCAAUUCCUUUGAGUUUCAACCUUGCGAUUGUACUUCCCAGGUGGAAUACUUAAUGCGUUAGCUUGGAUACUGAUCUUAAAAAAGACCAACAUCUAGUAUUCAUCGUUUAGGGUGUGGACUAC
rnacentral:misc_RNA from 1 species